rnacentral:misc_RNA from 1 species
GUCUUUGAGCCUUCCUAAGCCUUUUCGUUUCCUCGCACUCUUUUUCUGUUUUUGUGUGUGUGUGUGUGUUUUUGUUGUUGUUGUUUUUGUUUCCUUUGUGUGUGCGUUGUGGGCUCGUCGUGCUGCUCUUGUGUGGCACGCGUGUCUGUAGCGUGUCGCACCUCUAGCAUAAGGUGUGGUCCUCUCCUUUCGUAUAUGAGCGUGCUUGUGUGUGCUUGUGUGUUUUGUGGAGCGCGUCGCGGCCGGUGAGGAUCGCUUUCUUUGUUUCUUUGUUUUCCUCUCGUGUUCGGGGAUCGCUGGCCUUCGAUUCUCGGGCUCAACUGUGGCCUUGCUCGUGCGUGCGUAGGAAGGCGCCUUUAAAGUGAAGUCGAAUGCUUAUACGUGCUUGUGUGCGCUGCGUUCACCUGUAGUGCAGCAUUCCCACUCGGGUAAGGAAAGAAGGAGAGGAUGAGAGACCUUUUGUUUUAUACAAGGCGCGGCCGGUGAGGACUUUCGGUUGGGGUGGAGCUGGUGAGUCAGGCUAGCAGAAGACGCGUUGAGGCGUUCUCACGGUUUUUGUCUGGGGGGGGGAGGGUCUUCCUGGAUGAUAGGGUGUGGGUGUGCGGGAGCGCCUGCAGCUGCCCUUCAGCGGUUUGUGCCUUGUGACUAGGAAGUCGGUUGAACGCCUAUAAGGUGUCUAUGGAAUCUCGGCAACAAAAGGGGUUGCGGCGUGAUCAUUGUGGCUCUCACAGCUGCACUGCCGCUGUGAUCGCAGUUGGUCACCCUUGCUGGAUCUGCCCCUGUCUGCCUCUCUCAACCACCCUCCGACAUCGCUGUCGAUGCUACUUCUUUCGCGUGCCGAAUACAGGGAUACGGCAAGGCGGUGACGAGUGCGUGCAAGAGGACGUCACCAGCACCUCUGUUAUGCCUGCUCCCUCCCUCUUACCUGGUUCCUCUUUUGUGUGUAUGAAAAAGGUAUUUUUCCUCCCACCUCCGCCGCUUGCCUGCUUGUCUUUUCUGUAUUUCUUCUCUGCCUUUGGUUUUGGAGAGGCGUUUCGUAUGUGGUGUUGUGAUGGAACAGGCACACAAACGCAGACUUACUCGCAGAUAUGCACCGCACACGUACGCGUAUGGCCAGACUCCAGCGCGUGCGCACGUAAGCUUGAAUAGUGUCUUCUAAGUACCUUCCUUUUUGUUUGCUUGUUUGCUUGUUUGCCCGCGUGCACCGGCGUCGCUGAAGUUUGCCUAAAAGCGGCGCUUACACGAGGUGCAAGCGCAGAGGCACUUGUUUUCCGCUGCCCGCGCGCCUGCGCAUUGACGGGCGUCGCGGCGCGUUGGCAGGCAGAUGCGGAAGUGGGUGAGAAAAGGUAGUGGAUGGCGCGCAGAAGAGCGCGCAUGGUUGCGGGCCAAGUGAAUAAACACAGGAGCCCCGAUCCCCGCAAUAUAUAUUUUUUUUCUUUUUUUUUUGGCUUGCCGCAACACUCCUAACGGAAAAAGGGAGGGAAGGGGGCGAGAUCCGCAUGAGAAGACUCGAGAACAGCGAGUGGCUACAGAAAAAAAGGGAAAGCUGGCCACCGGCCUCUCCAGCCACACGCGCUACACACGGGCGACACGAGUAAAGGAAUCAAGCGCGCGAAGAGGAAAGGGAAGGGUAAGGGGGCGACAACGAAGAGAAAAUCGAGAGCGGGAAACGAAAGUCACAACACCAGGCACAACCGCGGCACGCACGAGGACAGCCAGGGGGAGGAAGAAUAGGUGGAAUGACCGGAGCCUUCUAUUCCGCUUUUUCCUUUGGUGCCGUUGGCGUGGACGCCGCAGGCCGACUCCCCCCACCCCCACCCCCCCCACCGUCCACUAGAGAAGACGCAGCGCCAAUUACCGACUUACGAAUCGUGAGCUGUGUGCUCUCUCACGCGGACCUCCUUUUUUUUUCUCUCUGAUCGCCUUCUCUCUCGCACACUCCGUGGCGGGCAAGCGUUCGCCACACAGGUGCUCUUUGCUUUGCUUCCGUGUCGAGCGAGCUGCCGUUUGCGUGCACCUCGCAUACUCGCGUGAACCCCCUGUGUUGUCACGCCUUUCCACAGAAUGAGGAGCGGAGUGCGAAGCUGAAAGGAAAGCGGAGAGAAAAGCGAAGAGGGACAGCGAUGCAAACAUACAUACGCGCACACAUUGAAAAGCCUGUGCCGUCGCCCCUGUUUGGAUAGUAUUCGUCCCUAUCCCCGAUGUGCCGCACGUUUUCUUCUUCUUUUGCCCUCUCCCCUUCGCCCUCCGACCACACGUUCCUGUGUGUGUGUGUGCCGCUUCUUUACAGAGGGGCAGCUAUUUCGCGACUUUUCCUUCUAGUAACAUGAACCUAACCUCUUAUCUUCAACUCCUUGUCGAAUGAAAAAAAAAGAAAACAUUAAAUGGAAAGUGAAGUCGGCGAACAAAAGCGAAGAGACGAAGGAAAUAGUUGCGCGUGCAUGUGUGUGGGGGGAGGGGGGGUCGGUAAUCGAUCACACGAGACAGCGCGGCGGCAUAGUGCAAGCUCGCGCACGAACCGGCUGCGCUGAUGCAUGCCAUCUACGCAGAUCUGGAGCUGCUGGACCGCUUCCGCAUGUUUCCGUGGUGCCACCGUCUUCAAGAGAGAGUCGUAACGGCUCACUCUGCACUAGCC